rnacentral:lncRNA from 1 species
UUGUGGUGGCUAAGCGUUCAUGGCGACGUCGUUUUUUUAUCCUUCGAUGUCGGCUCUUCCUAUUAUUGCGAAGCAAAAUUCGCCAAGCAUUGGAUGUUUCGCCCACUAGUAGGGAACGUGAGAUGGGCUUAGAGUGUCCUGAGGCAGGUUAGUGUUACCCUACUGAUGAUCGCUCGUUGCGAUAGUAAUUCUGCUCAGUACGAGAGUAACCGCAGAUUCGGACACUUGGUUCACGUGCUUGGUCGAGAGACCAGUGGUGCGAAGCUACCAUCCGUGGGAUUACGACUGAGCGCCUCUAAUUGAAAAUCCCGUCUAAGCACCGCAACGAUAUCGUGUGCACUUGUGGCGAAAGCGGGUAAGGUUAGCGCAGGGUCGAGCGCGGCGGGCCGCCGCGCUUCCCGGCUCCAUGACGCCCAAGU